UCCCAGGACUUUAGAAGAGGUUGAAGGAC
rnacentral:piRNA from 1 species